CCGGGGCAUGGUUUCUUUGGGAAGCAGCUGGAGACUGAUUUGUCAGGAGAGAGAUGUUGGGGGUCUUUGGGGUGGGCUGGUGGCUGUGGGGAUGGGCUGGAGGCUGAUCGGUCGCUGCAGGGAGGACGAAGGUGAUGGAGGAGGAAGGAUAGGGGUUAGGCCAACCUCAGUUUUGAGGAAACCAGAGUGCAGUGUUUAAGAGCUUGGACUAUUUCAACCUCUUUGUGCCUCAGUUUCCUCAUCUGCAAAAUGGGAGUGAUCAUGAAAGUCCACACCCCCUGUUGUUGCUGGGAGAGUUGAGUAGUGUGGAGGGCUCGGGAGAGUGGGUAGAAACCUGGGCUGGCAGCUGUGAUCAUUGCUGUGCUGUGACAGCUGUCCUGGUGGGAAGAGGGCAUCUGUGGAGCCUCCGAGAGAGAGGUCGGAGGUAGCUGGGUGUGUGGGUCUGGACCUCAGGAACAGCCUGGAUUCUGGGCCCAUCAGCAGAAGUGCUGGGCAAGGUCCUGGUGAGAGUGUGAUGAGGGAGGAGCAUGCAGGCCAUGGAAACAGCAGCGGUGGCCGCAGAGCAGGAGAUGCUGAAGACUGAGGAGGCCCCACAGAGAGGCAGGAGGAGGCUGGGAGAGAGACGGGCAGGCCGGACAGGGGACAUGAACCAUGGCACAGCCUGCCAGACAUCCAGUGAGGCAGGAGAUGAGGAGGUCCCCGGCUCUGGUCACAGAGGCCAUCAGAGACCCAGGAGUGGGCCAUGCUGGGGCGGCGGGAAGGCCAGGCUGGCAUGGGCAGAGGAGGGGCCGGCGUGAGGAAGGCGGCAGUGCUGUCACCUGGAGUGACAGCCUCGGACACACUUCCAAGCCGCGUGGGUAGGAGAGGGCCCUGGAGAAAGGGGGAGACAAAGAAAACUACAGAGAGAGAAGAUGGAGGGUUGAACGCCAAGAAGGAGACAGCAACAGAAAAUCCCCCCAAAAGAGGAAGUAGUGCAGGGUCUGGAGAGGAUAGAAGAGGAACUGGCAAUUGGGGAUGCAGGGCUGGUCUUGUGGGCAGGGUGAGGGCCAGAGAGCCCUCGCCUUCGAGGAGGCCACAAUCCCAGCCUUCAGGACACCCCCUUUCCCCGGGUUGAGGUCCACCUCUGGCGGAGGAGGCAGGAGAGGAGGACCCUGGACAUAUGAAAGACCCCGUCUCCUCUCAAGCUGCCCACCGACUUCCACGGUGCCCCGGGCUCAGCCAAGGUGAACUCGAAUUGGAAGAAAGCCAUGGUGAGACCACUCGCUUUUAGAACAGACAACUCAGGCUCAGCAAAGAGGAAGACAGGACGUGUCCUCAACUCAACCCACCCCUUUUACAAAUGAGAGCCGUGUGACUGCAGCCUGGAACUCAGGGUGUCUAAAACUCAUAGCCCCACUUCAGUGAAUCAUGACUAUGAUGUUUCCAGAGAAAGGAUGGCGCUGGGGAAAUGAUGUAAGUGAGGAAGGAGGGUGCUGCCCGUCACCCAUCUCCUCAGCCCCGUGGGACCCUGAGUCAGCAGAGCCCAGCUCCCCGUCUAGCCUCCUGGGGUGCUCAGAGCCCAGGCUGAGCCCAUGGCAAGAGGUCAAGGGCAGAG
rnacentral:lncRNA from 10 species